UACGUAGGGGGCAAGCGUUGUCCGGAAUCAUUGGGCGUAAAGCGCGCGUAGGCGGCCCGGUAAGUCCGCUGUAAAAGUCAAAGGCUCAACCUUUGAAUGUCAGUGGAUACUGCCGGGCUAGAGUCCGGAAGAGGCGAGUGGAACUCCUGGUGUAGCGGUGGAAUGCGCAGAUAUCAGGAGGAACACCGGUGGCGAAGGCGGUUCUCUGGGCAUGUCCUGACGCUGAGGAGCGAAAGUGUGGGGAGCGAACAGG
rnacentral:rRNA from 1 species